AGCAGGCUGAGGAUGAGCAUUUGAAGUACUUGACUCAUGGACAGUGUUUAAAACUAUGUGAGAGGAUGAGAUCACCUGGGUAAUAAGUGCAGAUGGAGAAAAGAAGGCCCAAGGCUGAGACUGGGGAGAAUUCCAGCACUCAGAGGUCCAGUAGGAAAGCAGGAGCCACGAAAGAGAUGGGGCUGGAGCUUUUAAGGGUGCAGGAAAAACACCACGACCACACAGCAUCCCGGGAGCAGAGUAAAGCGUUCGGAGAACAUGAUCAGCACCAUGGCCGCACAGCAUCCUGGGAGCAGAGUAAAGCGUUUGGAGAACACGAUCAGCACCGUGACCGCACAGCAUCCUGGGAGCAGAGUAAAGCGUUCGGAGAACAUGAUCAGCACUGCAGCCACACAGCAUCCUGGGAGCAGAGUAAAGCGUUCGGAGAACAUGAUCAACAACACCACGACCACACAGCAUCCUGGGAGCAGAAUAAAGUGCUCGGAGAACAUGAUCAGCACCGCGAUCACACAGCAUCCUGGGAGCAGAGUAAAGCGUUCGGAGAGCAUGAUCAGCACUGCAGCCACACAGCAUCCUGGGAGCAGAGUAAAGUGUUCGGAGAACAUGAUCAGCACCGCGAUCACACAGCAUCCUGGGAGCAGAGUAAAGCGUUCGGAGAACAUGAUCAGCACUGCAGCCACACAGCAUCCUGGGAGCAGAGUAAAGUGUUCGGAGAACAUGAUCAGCACCAUAACCACACAGCAUCCUGGGAGCAGAAUAAAGUGCUCGGAGAACAUGAUCAGCACCACGAUCACACAGCGUCCUGGGAGCAGAGUAAAGCAUUCGGAGAACAUGAUCAACAACACCACGACCACACAGCAUCCUGGGAGCAGAAUAAAGCGUUCGGAGAACAUGAUCAGCUGGGCCAGAUGUUGCUGGAGGUCAAGGAAGAUGGGAAGCCUGGACUGUUGCAUUUGAUAAGAGGAAGGUUGUUGGUAAACUUGGCAAGGGCGGUCUCAGUGGUGGGACAACGCCCUGGAAUGCGUGGGUUACAGGGAGGAGGAGGUGAGGAAAUCAGGGUGGCAACCGCAGAUGACUCUUGGAGGGAGCAGAGC
rnacentral:lncRNA from 1 species